rnacentral:rRNA from 1 species
GCGUAAGCGCGCGCAGGCGGCCUUUUAAGUCUGAUGUGAAAGCCCACGGCUCAACCGUGGAGGGUCAUUGGAAACUGGAAGGCUUGAGUGCAGAAGAGAAGAGCGGAAUUCCACGUGUAGCGGUGAAAUGCGUAGAGAUGUGGAGGAACACCAGUGGCGAAGGCGGCUCUUUGGUCUGUAACUGACGCUGAGGCGCGAAAGCGUGGGGAGCGAACAGGAUUAGAUACCCUGGUAGUCCACGCCGUAAACGAUGAGUGCUAAGUGUUGGGGGGUUUCCGCCCCUCAGUGCUGCAGCUAACGCAUUAAGCACUCCGCCUGGGGAGUACGGCCGCAAGGCUGAAACUCAAAGGAAUUGACGGGGGCCCGCACAAGCGGUGGAGCAUGUGGUUUAAUUCGAAGCAACGCGAAGAACCUUACCAGGUCUUGACAUCCCGCUGACCGGUCUGGAGACAGAUCUUCCCCUUCGGGGGCAGCGGUGACAGGUGGUGCAUGGUUGUCGUCAGCUCGUGUCGUGAGAUGUUGGGUUAAGUCCCGCAACGAGCGCAACCCUUGAUCUUAGUUGCCAGCAUUUAGUUGGGCACUCUAAGGUGACUGCCGGUGACAAACCGGAGGAAGGUGGGGAUGACGUCAAAUCAUCAUGCCCCUUAUGACCUGGGCUACACACGUGCU